AUUGAACGCUGGCGGCAUGCUUUACACAUGCAAGUCGAACGGUAACAGGCCGCAGGGUGCUGACGAGUGGCGAACGGGUGAGUAAUGCAUCGGAACGUGCCCAGUCGUGGGGGAUAACGCAGCGAAAGCUGUGCUAAUACCGCAUACGAUCUAUGGAUGAAAGCGGGGGACCGUAAGGCCUCGCGCGAUUGGAGCGGCCGAUGUCAGAUUAGGUAGUUGGUGGGGUAAAGGCUCACCAAGCCAACGAUCUGUAGCUGGUCUGAGAGGACGACCGACCACACUGGGAGUGAGACACAGUCCAGACUCCUACGGGAUGCAGCAGUGGGGAAUUUUAGACAAUGGGCGCAAGCCUGUUCCAUCAAUGCCGCGUGCAGGAAGGAGGCCGUCGGGUUGUAAACUGCUUUUGUACGGAACGAAAAGGUUUGGGUUAAUACCCUGGGCCGAUGACGGUACCGUAAGAAUAAGCACCGGCUAACUACGUGCCAGCAGCCGCGGUAA
rnacentral:rRNA from 1 species